rnacentral:rRNA from 1 species
GGUUAAGUUAGAAAGGGCGCACGGUGGAUGCCUUGACACUAGGAGUCGAUGAAGGACGGGACUAACGCCGAUAUGCUUCGGGGAGCUGUAAGUAAGCUUUGAUCCGAAGAUUUCCGAAUGGGGAAACCCACCAUACGUAAUGGUAUGGUAUCCUUAUCUGAAUACAUAGGGUAAGGAAGACAGACCCAGGGAACUGAAACAUCUAAGUACCUGGAGGAAGAGAAAGCAAAUGCGAUUUCCUGAGUAGCGGCGAGCGAAACGGAACAUAGCCCAAACCAAGAGGCUUGCCUCUUGGGGUUGUAGGACAUUCUAUACGGAGUUACAAAGGAACGAGGUAGACGAAGCGACCUGGAAAGGUCCGUCGUAGAGGGUAACAACCCCGUAGUCGAAACUUCGUUCUCUCUUGAAUGUAUCCUGAGUACGGCGGAACACGUGAAAUUCCGUCGGAAUCUGGGAGGACCAUCUCCCAAGGCUAAAUACUCCCUAGUGAUCGAUAGUGAACCAGUACCGUGAGGGAAAGGUGAAAAGCACCCCGGAAGGGGAGUGAAAGAGAUCCUGAAACCGUGUGCCUACAAAUAGUCAGAGCCCGUUAACGGGUGAUGGCGUGCCUUUUGUAGAAUGAACCGGCGAGUUACGAUCCCGUGCGAGGUUAAGCUGAAGAGGCGGAGCCGCAGCGAAAGCGAGUCUGAAUAGGGCGUUUAGUACGUGGUCGUAGACCCGAAACCAGGUGAUCUACCCAUGUCCAGGGUGAAGUUCAGGUAACACUGAAUGGAGGCCCGAACCCACGCACGUUGAAAAGUGCGGGGAUGAGGUGUGGGUAGCGGAGAAAUUCCAAUCGAACCUGGAGAUAGCUGGUUCUCCCCGAAAUAGCUUUAGGGCUAGCCUUAAGUGUAAGAGUCUUGGAGGUAGAGCACUGAUUGGACUAGGGGUCCUCAUCGGAUUACCGAAUUCAGUCAAACUCCGAAUGCCAAUGACUUAUCCUUAGGAGUCAGACUGCGAGUGAUAAGAUCCGUAGUCAAAAGGGAAACAGCCCAGACCGCCAGCUAAGGUCCCAAAGUGUGUAUUAAGUGGAAAAGGAUGUGGAGUUGCUUAGACAACUAGGAUGUUGGCUUAGAAGCAGCCACCAUUUAAAGAGUGCGUAAUAGCUCACUAGUCGAGUGACUCUGCGCCGAAAAUGUACCGGGGCUAAAUACACCACCGAAGCUGCGGAUUGAUACCAAUGGUAUCAGUGGUAGGGGAGCGUUCUAAGGACAGUGAAGUCAGACCGGAAGGACUGGUGGAGUGCUUAGAAGUGAGAAUGCCGGUAUGAGUAGCGAAAGACGGGUGAGAAUCCCGUCCACCGAAUGCCUAAGGUUUCCUGAGGAAGGCUCGUCCGCUCAGGGUUAGUCAGGACCUAAGCCGAGGCCGACAGGCGUAGGCGAUGGACAACAGGUUGAUAUUCCUGUACCACCUCUUUAUCGUUUGAGCAAUGGAGGGACGCAGAAGGAUAGAAGAAGCGUGCGAUUGGUUGUGCACGUCCAAGCAGUUAGGCUGAUAAGUAGGCAAAUCCGCUUAUCUUGAAGGCUGAGCUGUGAUGGGGAAGCUCCUUAUGGAGCGAAGUCUUUGAUUCCCCGCUGCCAAGAAAAGCUUCUAGCGAGAUAAAAGGUGCCUGUACCGCAAACCGACACAGGUAGGCGAGGAGAGAAUCCUAAGGUGUGCGAGAGAACUCUGGUUAAGGAACUCGGCAAAAUGACCCCGUAACUUCGGGAGAAGGGGUGCUUUCUUAACGGAAAGCCGCAGUGAAUAGGCCCAAGCGACUGUUUAGCAAAAACACAGCUCUCUGCGAAGCCGUAAGGCGAAGUAUAGGGGGUGACACCUGCCCGGUGCUGGAAGGUUAAGGAGAGGGGUUAGCGUAAGCGAAGCUCUGAACUGAAGCCCCAGUAAACGGCGGCCGUAACUAUAACGGUCCUAAGGUAGCGAAAUUCCUUGUCGGGUAAGUUCCGACCCGCACGAAAGGUGUAACGAUUUGGGCACUGUCUCAACCAGAGACUCGGUGAAAUUAUAGUACCUGUGAAGAUGCAGGUUACCCGCGACAGGACGGAAAGACCCCGUGGAGCUUUACUGUAGCCUGAUAUUGAAUUUUGGUACAGUUUGUACAGGAUAGGCGGGAGCCAUUGAAACCGGAGCGCUAGCUUCGGUGGAGGCGCUGGUGGGAUACCGCCCUGACUGUAUUGAAAUUCUAACCUACGGGUCUUAUCGACCCGGGAGACAGUGUCAGGUGGGCAGUUUGACUGGGGCGGUCGCCUCCUAAAGUGUAACGGAGGCGCCCAAAGGUUCCCUCAGAAUGGUUGGAAAUCAUUCGUAGAGUGCAAAGGCAUAAGGGAGCUUGACUGCGAGACCUACAAGUCGAGCAGGGACGAAAGUCGGGCUUAGUGAUCCGGUGGUUCCGCAUGGAAGGGCCAUCGCUCAACGGAUAAAAGCUACCCCGGGGAUAACAGGCUUAUCUCCCCCAAGAGUCCACAUCGACGGGGAGGUUUGGCACCUCGAUGUCGGCUCAUCGCAUCCUGGGGCUGUAGUCGGUCCCAAGGGUUGGGCUGUUCGCCCAUUAAAGCGGUACGCGAGCUGGGUUCAGAACGUCGUGAGACAGUUCGGUCCCUAUCCGUCGUGGGCGUAGGAAAUUUGAGAGGAGCUGUCCUUAGUACGAGAGGACCGGGAUGGACGCACCGCUGGUGUACCAGUUGUUCUGCCAAGGGCAUAGCUGGGUAGCUAUGUGCGGAAGGGAUAAGUGCUGAAAGCAUCUAAGCAUGAAGCCCCCCUCAAGAUGAGAUUUCCCAUAGCGUAAGCUAGUAAGAUCCCUGAAAGAUGAUCAGGUUGAUAGGUUCGAGGUGGAAGCAUGGUGACAUGUGGAGCUGACGAAUACUAAUAGAUCGAGGACUUAACCAU